rnacentral:rRNA from 1 species
GACGAACGCUGGCGGCGUGCUUAACACAUGCAAGUCGAACGGAAAGGCCUCUUUCGGGGGGUACUCGAGUGGCGAACGGGUGAGUAACACGUGAGUAACCUGCCCUUGACUUUGGGUUAACUUCAGGAAACUGGGGCUAAUACCGGAUAGGAGCUCCUGCUGCAUGGUGGGGGUUGGAAAGUUUCGGCGGUUGGGGAUGGACUCGCGGCUUAUCCGCUUGUUUGUGGGGUAGUGGCUUACCAAGGCUUUGACGGGUAGCCGGCCUGAGAGGGUGACCGGCCACAUUGGGACUGAGAUACGGCACAGACUCCUACGGGAGGCAGCAGUGGGGAAGAUUGCACAAUGGGUGGAAGCCUGAUGCAGCAACGCCGUGUGCGGGAUGACGGCCUUCGGGUUGUAAACCGCUUUCGCUCAUGACGAAGCUUUGUGUGACGGUAGUGGGUAAAGAAGCACCGGCUAACUACGUG